UACGGGGGGGGCAAGCGUUACUCGGAAUUAUUGGGCGUAAAGGGCGCGUAGGCGGUCGUGUGCGUCGGAGGUGAAAUCCCCAGGCUUAACCUGGGAACUGCCUCCGAUACGGCAUGGCUUGAGUCCGGGAGAGGGGAGCAGAAUUCCCAGUGUAGCGGUGAAAUGCGUAGAUAUUGGGAGGAAUACCAGUGGCGAAGGCGGCUCCCUGGACCGGUACUGACGCUGAGGCGCGAAAGCGUGGGUAGCAAACAGG
rnacentral:rRNA from 1 species